rnacentral:lncRNA from 1 species
GAUUCUUGUAUUUGGCUUUACUGUUUUGCGUUAUUUGCUGAUGCUGUUUUCUCUUCUAGUUUGGUCUAUACCCCAGCUUAACCUGACAGAUUGGUCAGACAAGUGACUGUCAGAGAAGUUUUGCUAACUACAGAGAAUUCUGCUUCUCUGCGAUGGAAAGAUGGUCCAAGACGUGGAGAAGGUUGAGACUGAGAGAGGAGAAGGUACUGAAGACAGACUAAGGAUUGAGUGAGAUCGUGUAUAAAACACCUGUCACGUCGGGUAUACAGGUGGCAUGAACAACUUCAUGUGAGACAAGUUCUGUAUUUUUCAUCUGGGCAAAUCAGCAAACCAAACAAACUCAUUGGAUAUGCUCUUCAAGGACCUCAUUUUUUCUCUCGGAGAACCUCUCCCCUCCAUUUUCAGCCUAUGUGGUUUGACUAAAGCUGACCCCAAUUCUACGACUCCAGGGACCAGACCAAUCGGAGACCACCCCCCUUCGGCCACUUGGAGUGGUCAGGAAUGGACAGGUCUAACAAAGACCAAUAAGCCACAGUUCCAGAAUGUCUGUUAGAUUGUGAAAGAGAAGCUCUCUUUAACUGGGGCUUUUAGAAAGCAUCUUGUCACUCUAAGGGGAGAAUCCAAAUGAGAAAGAAGACAGCACAGAAGAAAGUAGAACAAAGGUAUUAAAAGUGAUUGAUUCUAAUUACAUUGUCUGAGCAUAUUGACCCAGCAAUACUUGAACAAUAAACCCCAGGAUUUUGGGGGUAUCUGAGUCA